GAUGAACGCUAGCGGCAGGCUUAACACAUGCAAGUCGAGGGGCAGCACGGGUAGCAAUACCUGGUGGCGACCGGCGCAAGGGUGCGUAACGCGUGAGCAACAUGCCCUAUACAGGGGGAUAAUCCAGGGAAACUUGGUCUAAUAUCCCAUAGCAUUUAGAGGAGGCAUCUUCACUAAAUUAAAGCUUCGGUGGUAUAGGAUUGGCUCGCGUGACAUUAGCUAGAUGGUGAGGUAACGGCCCACCAUGGCUAUGAUGUCUAGGGGUUCUGAGAGGAAGACCCCCCACACUGGGACUGAGACACGGCCCAGACUCCUACGGGAGGCAGCAGUGAGGAAUAUUGGACAAUGGAUGGAAAUCUGAUCCAGCCAUGCCGCGUGCAGGAAGACGGCCCUAUGGGUUGUAAACUGCUUUUAUAUGGGAGCAAUAAGGUUUACGAGUAGACCGAUGAGAGUACCAUAUGAAUAGCAUCGGCUAACUCCG
rnacentral:rRNA from 1 species